GCUGGGUGACUGACUGUCAGGCCGCAUCUGCUCCAAAUUUACGGCGCCUCCUUCGGCCGCGGGCGUCCUCUCCACGGCCUCUUUACCGAGGGCUGCCCCAGCUGAGGCCCCUCCCGCGGGGAGCGGAAGGCCACGCCCGCGCCCGCCGGCCGGGGGCGGGGAGCAGGUGUGAAGCGAGGGUCGCAGCGGCGCGCGCGGUCACCCUCCACCGCACCGCCGAGACCCGGCCUCGCCCCGGCGCGCACACAAUGGCGUGGGGCCAGGCGCGGGGCGGCUCAUUACCCCGGCCCGCCGGGGAGUAGCUGAUGGAGAAGGUGGGAGCCUGGAGCGCCGCCACCCGAUCGCCGGAGAGACGUCGAGGUCCAGGAGCGUGGGGUGGAGGGACAGGUCAGCCGCACCGGGGUGCAAGCCCGAGGCCAGCCCGAGGAACCGGUCCCGGGCACCGCGCAGGACCGCGUGGGUGCAAUUCAUUCUUCCAGAGGUCCUUUCUCCACCAAAUCCCUUUCCCUGAAGAUUGGAGUACGCUCUCCCUGAGGCGCAUCUUCCCUCCAGGCUAUGUCUGUAUGUCCAAUACCUGGACCCUGUCCCAGGAGCACACAUCAGGCAGGUCCAUGAAGAUUUGGCGAGUAAAUGAAGUCAGAUGAGAGAAAUGGGUUGGUGGAGCUUGUGAAGAUCCGGUCCUUCCCUAGAGGAGACAAGACUCCACAGUGGCUCAUGGACAGAAGCCCAGGAGAAGCUAGAUUGCUUAUGGCUGAUGCGGCCUCCGGGAACCAGCCCAGAAGAGUUUGCCUCUGGGCGGGGCCACUCCUAUCCCUACCUGGGCUCAGCCAUCCUUCAACCAGUGAGUGGAUCUGCGGGUCUCUGUGCGGAUGCAGCUCCGCGCCCGCCAACCCCUCCUUCCUCCCGCUGGGAGGAUAAUUAAAGCGCCAAACGGCGGAGCCGGGCGGGCAGUGUUCCCGGGGGCGCAUUUCAUCGGGGCUGAUUAAUGAGGCCGGGGAGUUAAUGAGGAGAAAGCUAAACGGUGGAGCUGAGCAGCGGACGGCCUCUCUGCGGCCCUGGAGGGGGCCCUCCGAAGGCAUCUCCCGCCCUCUUCUUAGUGGCGGGCGGCAGUAGCGCCAGCCACAUGGUGCCCCUGGCUCUAGUCUCAGCUUUGGACUCAGGGGAGGUGGGUGGCCUUACCGCAGCCAGCCACAACGUAGAAGUCGUUUUGUCUUUCCUCUGCGGACGCUGAACAGAGAGAAUCUGACCUUGCGCCUAAAUUAGCCGCAAAGGACUUCAGGGGAGCCCGCUUUCUUUUUCUCCACGAGGGAAGCUUUGAACCUGCAUCUCAGACCACCUGCAGAUUUCACUCCCAGCCAGAACUGAGAAGCAGCUCUGCUGUCCUCAACCCAGCGACUUCAGGCAGGUUUAGUCCUGUGAGAGGCUUCUGUACCUGUAAAGCGGCGUCUUUCUCUCGCCUACUAAACAUGGCUGGCUGUUAUCCAGAAUGGACAGUAAGCUCUUGGUAUAAUCCUCACCUACUCUUCUCAACUACUGUAGGGCUUUAACACUAAUACCUUGAUUCCACAGAUGAGGCCCUAAUCACUAGGGCACUGAAACAAGGAACCACGACAUACAUAGCCUGUGGUCACUCAACUUAGCUACCUGUCUGCUGUGAUCCAGUGUCCCGGCACUUAAGCACUGGAGCUAUGGACACUAGAGUCUGCAUGCUUAGCAUCAAGCUAUAGUGCUGUUUUCAAGGAGAUUGCUAAAGGUAGAGCCUUGAAACAGAAAGAGACUCCAGUGAGGGCUGUUCCAAGCUUCUGUGUCCUUGUGUCUUUGGCCCUUAACCUGUGAAGUAGGGCUGAGCAGGCUUGGCCAAUCUCUGUCACCUCUUGACACCACCUCUAGACAAACCAGAGACACAUCAAAUUGUCCCUGCCUCCCAUAAAUGACUGCAGUUGACCAGGUUUUGAAAGAAGAGAGCAUGGGCAGAGUGAGUUGGGGAGGGAGCACUCCUUUGUUUACUCUGGGUUCAAAAAAAAAAAAAAGUGCCCAGGCUGGAGAGAUGGCUCAGA